UACGGGGGGGGGCAAGCGUUGUUCGGAAUUACUGGGCGUAAAGGGCUCGUAGGCGGCCAACUAAGUCGGACGUGAAAUCCCCAGGCUCAACCUGGGAACUGCGUCCGAUACUGGAUGGCUUGAAUCCGGGAGAGGGAUGCAGAAUUCCAGGUGUAGCGGUGAAAUGCGUAGAUAUCUGGAGGAAUACCGGUGGCGAAGGCGGCAUCCUGGACCGGCAUUGACGCUGAGGCGCGAAAGCCAGGGGAGCAAACGGG
rnacentral:rRNA from 1 species